AUUGGAGUGAGUUUAGUAAACAGCCAAUAACCUUUUCUUUGUUCUACAUCACUUCUUCCAUUUUGAGAAUGUCUAGCUGUGGCAGCAAGUGUGGAUGCGGAAGUAGCUGCAGCUGUGGCAGCAACUGCGGGUAUAUAAUCACUUUUUUGUUCUAAUAUGUUUGAUUAUCUCUUAAAAUUAAUUUUUAAACCGCGUUUCAGUAUGAAAUUGUUCUGCAAUACGUGAAUUCUUAUCUGUUAGGGUUUUUCCUUAAACCAGCUUUUUGUUUUUCUUCUUUACGGAAUGUGUUGAUUGGUUUCUGGAUACUCGUUUUACUGAGUUGUGUCGAUAUUGAUACUUGAUUACUUUCUGUGCUCAGUUUUCUACGCGAUUGGAAUUGCUGUUUUAAUCCAGAGAUUAGUUUAGCUCUGUUUCUUUGAUCUCAAUUUUUUUGUUGGAAACUUUUGUUUAUAUGAUCUCAAUUUUUUUGUUGGAAACUUUUGUUUAUAUUUUGGUUCGACUUUAUAUAUACGCAUCUCUUUCAGAAUCGUUUCUUUGAUCUCAAUUUUAUAAGAUAGAGUUACCUUUCAAGUUUCUUUUGUGUAAAAAAAAGAUCUGAGUAUAAUUGUUACAUAUUUUUGUACCAAAUUCUUCGAUAAAUUGUCUGUUUUCUCUGUUUUCUGCACGGAUUUUCUUACUCCGAAAAAUGAUACUUUCUCAUUUAUUUUCACACAUGUUUUCAGGAACCUAAUUCGUUGAUUUUUUUUUUUUUUUUUUUUUUACAGUUGCAGCAAGUACUCGUUUGACAUGACCGAGAAGACAAGCACAGAGACUCUAGUUUUGGGCGUUGGACCUGUGAAGCCCCAAUUGGAAGGUGGUGAAGUUGCAGCUGAGGACAGUGGCUGCAAGUGCGGAUCAAACUGCACUUGCGACCCAUGCAACUGCAAAUGAGGUGAAGAUAUAUAAAGCUUGAAGCAGAUAUAGCUGCAAUAUAUAUAUAUAUAUGUACGAAAAGUACACACCUAAUGAUAAUAAUAAGUUUGUGUUGUGUUCAAUCAACUUGAUUUGAAGUUUCAUAAUAAAGUGGGCAUGGCUGGCCUUAUUGGAAGUUCAAAUGCUCUUGGAUUUGUUGUGGGUGUUAUAAGCUAUGGUCACUUUGUGUUUGUUCUGGCUUAUAUAAAUUAUGUAGUUUGAAUCAUCAAUCUCUAUGUGCUUAUAAAUGGAAUACUAUUAAUGUUGAUCUGUAAUAGACUAACCACACGCUUUCAUUAUAUAUCAUUCUGAU
rnacentral:lncRNA from 1 species